rnacentral:rRNA from 1 species
CAGCAGUCGCGGUUAUACGUAGGAGNCUAGCAUUAAUCAGUAUAGGCCUAAAGCAUACGCAGAUGAUAUAAUAAUAAUUAUAUUAGAAUUUAUAUAUAAAGAUAUAUCAAUUGUAAUAGGAACGAUAAUAUGUUAUGAUAAUUACAAGAGUGUCAAAAGUGAAGACAUAUAUCCAAUAUAAAUUGACAUUAAGGUAUGAAAGCUAAAGUAGCGAAAUGGAAUAGUAACCCAAGUAGUUUUAGCAGUAAACGAUGAAUGUAAUUUAAUUAAUAAUAAUAAUUAAUUAAAUAGACGAAGGUUUUAACAUUCCGCCUGAUGAGUACGUACGCAAGUAUGAAAUUCAAGACAUUAGACGGUUAUAAACAUAAGCAGUGGAGUAUGUUAUUUAAU